GGAUUCUUCAGCUCCUGUUCCAUGAGCUGUUUCCUGUUGGAGAAGCCAGAGGAUGCACCCAGUAAUUGUGAACGUUUUCAUUGGAGCAGGAACACAUUUUUGGAGCUCCUGGAUGCCUGGAACUGCUGAAGCUCUGGCCCUUGUUCCUUACCUUGAACCAGCCCAUUUGGGCACCGUUUGUACAUGGAUACCCCAUCAGAUUUAUACAAUAUUGGCCAGCAUUUACCUAACAGGAAUACCAUAAACCUGUAAAAGAGUUACAAGGGUUCCUGGUAGCCUCAGWAAAACUUCAAAAGCCUUCGGUCUACUCUUGUUGCCCAAUUUCAUCAUCUCUUUUUCCUCUGCGUAUUUUUGAGG